rnacentral:lncRNA from 1 species
AAAUACUUUUUUCUUUAAUUUAUCAUUCUUAUGUUUGUUUUUGCUUGGUUUGUUUUUCAGGAUCUUGGAGAGAGACCUUACGGGUUUUCUUAUCAGACUUUAAAGUCUUAUUAUCUAAACGUCCGGAGAUAUCUUUGCGUAUCUUUCGGUUAGAUGAUAAACUUUAUUGGAUGAAAGUAAUCCCUGAUGCGGCUAUUGUAUCUAUGAUACAACUCAUCUACGAGUAUGUAGAUCCUGACAAAAAAAAAAAAAUG